rnacentral:tRNA from 1 species
AGCGGGGUAGAGCAGCCCGGUAGCUCGUCAGGCUCAUAACCUGGAGGUCGUCGGUUCAAAUCCGGCUCCCGCAACCA